UACAGAGGUCCCAAGCGUUGUUCGGAUUCAUUGGGCGUAAAGGGUGUGUAGGUGGCGCCGUAAGUCCGCUGUGAAAGCCCGGAGCUUAACUCCGGAGGUCGGUGGAUACUGCCAGUCUUGAAGGUGCUAGGGGGAGAUGGAAUUACCGGUGUAGCGGUGAAAUGCGCAGAUAUCGGGAGGAACACCAAUGGCGAAGGCAGCUCGCUGGGACGGUACUGACGCUGAGACGCGAAAGCGUGGGGAGCAA
rnacentral:rRNA from 1 species